UCCAGGAGACGCCAAUUGAUAGCUGUCAGUGUGAUUGCCCCUUGGGUUUCUCUGGUUAACCAAACUUCAUCAUUUGCUGCAGAAACUAAAAAGGGAUUCCUUUUAGUCACAGACAAGAAGGACGGAUACUCAUUCCUAUAUCCAUUUGGGUGGGAGGAAGUGGUCAUUGAAGGCCAAGACAAGGUCUUUAAAGAUGUCAUUGAGCCAUUAGAAAGUGUCAGUGUAAAUAUGAUCCCAACCAACAAAAAAGAUAUUCGAGACUUUGGACCUCCACAACAGGUUGCUGAAACAUUGAUCAAAAAGUUUUUAGCCCCUCCAUCCCAGAAAACAAAACUAAUUGAGGCAUCUGCGCAUGAUGUUGAUGGAAAAGCUUAUUACACGUUUGAGUUCAUUGCUCAGGCUCCAAACUAUACCCGUCAUGCUUUAGUACAAUCUCUAUUGGCAAUGGUAAAUUCUACACACUGACCACAGGGGCCAAUGAGAGGAGGUGGGG
rnacentral:misc_RNA from 1 species